rnacentral:rRNA from 1 species
ACGCGUUAAGUAGACCGCCUGGGGAGUACGGUCGCAAGAUUAAAACUCAAAUGAAUUGACGGGGGCCCGCACAAGCGGUGGAGCAUGUGGUUUAAUUCGAUGCAACGCGAAGAACCUUACCUACUCUUGACAUCCAGAGAACUUUCCAGAGAUGGAUUGGUGCCUUCGGGAACUCUGAGACAGGUGCUGCAUGGCUGUCGUCAGCUCGUGUUGUGAAAUGUUGGG